UACUAGGGGAGCAAGCGUUGUCCGGAUUUAUUGGGCGUAAAGCGUAUGUAGGCGGCUAGAUAAGUCAGGCGUGCAAGCCCGUGGCUCAACCACGGAAUUGCGUUUGAAACUGUUUAGCUUGAGUACAGGAGAGGAAAGCGGAAUUCCCAGUGUAGCGGUGAAAUGCAUUGAUAUUGGGAAGAACAUCUGUGGCGAAGGCGGCUUUCUGGUCUGUUACUGACGCUGAGAUACGAAAGCCAGGGUAGCGAACGGG
rnacentral:rRNA from 1 species